rfam:Dipodomys ordii contig_58428, whole genome shotgun sequence.
GGUGGCUCAGUGGUAGAGCACUUGCCUUGCAUGCAUGAGGCCGUGGGUUCAAUUCCUCAGCACCA